GCAGUUCUGGUGUGUGUCCUGUCACUUGUUUAUGGUGCACACUGUGUUCUUUGGGUCUCUGAGUCCUUUCUUCUUGUCGAAAGCUCUCGCUCCCUGUCCUGUCCCCUCCUUUGUCACGGGUGUCUGCACGUAUUUGUCCUGGAGCUGCUCUGCCCUGCUGCCUAGCCUGUAAUAGCACAAGUCCUGGGGACUUGAAAUUGGUAAUGCAGGGUGUAGUUGGGCUCUAGGUUGUAUUCAUUAAUUGCCCUAACAUUUUUGGUGCUGUUAAGUUGUCCUGCAGCAGUUUUACACUAGUCUGAACUUUCUUUCAGAUGCAGACAGUUCAAAUCAGUGGCAGAGAGCCCCAAACCUGGGUGAGGGUGUUGCCAUGAGCAGGUCAGUCAUUGUUUGCAUUUGCAAGGGAAGCCUAAAUGGUGACUUUGUUACAGCAGUCUUUAUUCUUAGGAGGUCCAGGCAGACAGCAGCAGUCAAGGCCCAGUGUCCAAGGGAAUCGACUCGGAGUACUCACACCUCCAUCACCAACUGGCCAACGGACCGGUGCCGGGAGCGUGGCUUCUCGUUUUCCAGCCUUCCUUGCUGUGGUGGUUUUGAGGAACUUACUGGAUGGUUUUCUUUUGUUCAUAGUUGGUGUAGGAGAAGGGCCAUGGUAUGCUUUUUGCUUCUUACGGUUCUUGCUUCAGGUGCUCAUGACAAGGGUUUUUUUUGGGUUGAGUCUUGUGGUUGGAUUUCUUUUUGAUGGGUUCUUAUGUUUUUGAAGGAUGUGUUUUUAAAGGUUUAUAAUGUUUUUUAUGGGUCAUAGUAUGAAGUAGAGGGUAGGUUUUUAAUUCGGUUGUGGAGGCUUUUAUUGGCGUGAGUAUGUAGUGGUUUAUUUUGGUUGGUUUGAGGUAGUGUCCUGUAGUUAAUUAUUGAGGUUUUUUUAAUAUUGAUAAUUGCAUUCUUGUUUAUUAUGUUGUAGGGGUUUUAUUUGUUUGUCUUGUUUGAUUGCUUUGUGUGUUUUAUUGUCUCAGACAAUUUGGGAGUUGUUAUUUAUGGUUACUUUUCUCUUUUGGUGACAUGUUUAUUUCUAGGUGGUAUUUGUGUUUUGAUGGUUUGAGGCAUUCUGAGUUCCUUGAGUUAGGAAUUAUUAUUUUGUUGUUGUGAAUAUAAUUUUUUUUGUACUUGGAUGUAUUUGUUGUUUUUUAUUAGUUUGAUUUUUGGGAACAUGGGUAUUUCUAUGGUGGAUCUUUAUAGGUAGUUAUUUUAUUUGGGUGGUGAGUUUUUUGUUUCUUCAUGGUUUUGAUUUUUUUUAUAUCUGUAGUUAUUUGGGGGGAGUUUAGUUAAUUUUAUAGAGUAUUGGGUUCUCUUGAUGAGUUAGUGUAGUGGUAGGGUAUUGUUUGGUUUUUUUUAGAAACAUUUGGGAUCUGUUGUAUGGUUUGGAGUAUAAGAGGUUAGUUGGAGAGUUUUUUUCUUUUUAGUGUUUUUUUUUUUUAUGUGGGUUUUUAUAGGUGUUUUUUUUUAAAUUAAUGUUCCAUUUUUGUUAUGUGAUAAGAACUCUUAGUGAAAGGAGUGUAGUGGGGUUUUUUUUGCUGAUAGUUGGUUGGCUGGUGGAGCCUUUCUGAAUUUUUUGGAUGGUAUUCUUGGUUAUUCGAUGCUGUUUGUUUUGGCAUUUUAUUUUUAGGAAUUGGAUUAUAACUGCAAAGUUCUAACUGUAACUCUAAUGAAACAAAACAAAUGCAUAAAUAUGAAAAUGGGAAUAUAAAACUUCAAUUUUAAAUAUAAACGGAAAACAUAUAAAUAAAACAUGUAACAUAAAUAAUGUUAUCCUUUACUAUUAGAUAGUAUAUUGUUUGAUAUACAGAAUUUUGUUUAUAUAAAUACAUAUAAAUAUAGAUUAUAAAUAUAAAUAAAAUCCAUAUAAAAUAUCCAUAUUGAGAUGUAUAAUUAAUACAUGUGGAUAUAUAAAUAUAAAAAUUACUAAAUAAUAGAAAUCAAUACAGUACAUAAUGCAUA